GAUAAAUUUUUUAUAUUUUUCAUAAUUUAUUAUAAAUUUAUUUUACAUGUAAAUUUUAGUAUAAAAUUUUAAUUAUUUUAAAAAUAAUUAAUUUCAAAUAAACAGUAAUUAAAAUUAAAAAUUUAAGAAAUUAAGAUUUAGUAAUAUUUAAAUUAAUAACUAAUUUUGUGCCAGCAGUUGCGGUUAAACAAAAAUUAAAUUAAAUUAUUUCAGUUUAUAAUAAAUAAAUAAAUAUUAAAUUAAAUAUUAAAUUAUUAAGUGAAAUUUUAAUUUAAUUAAAAAUUAUUUUUAAUUUAUGAUUUAAUAAAUUUUAUUUUAAACUAGGAUUAGAUACCCUAUUAUUAAAAAUUUAAUUAAAAAUACUAAAAUAGUAGGUAAAUUAUUAUUGAAACUUAAAUAAUAUGGCGGUAUUUUAGUUCAUUUAGAGGAAUCUGUCUAAUAAUUGAUAAUCCACGAAUAAAUUUACUUAAUUUAUAAUUUUGUAUAUCAUUGUUAAAAAAAUAUUUUUAAAUAAAAAUAAUAUUUUAAAAUUUAAAAUAAAAUUUAAUUCAGAUCAAGAUGCAGGUUAUAAUUAAGUUUAGGAUGGAUUACAAUAAAUUUAUUUAAAUGAAAAAAAUUUUGUAAAAUUUGAUUGAAGGUGGAUUUAAAUGUAAUUUUAAUUAGUUUAUUAAAAUGAUUAAAAAUUAAAAUAUGUACAUAUUGCCCGUCACUUUCAUUUAAAAAUUGAAAUAAGUCGUAACAAAGUAGAAGUACUGGAAAGUGUUUCUAGAAUGAA
rnacentral:ncRNA from 1 species